GAUGAUUUUAGUGCUUGCACUAAAUGAAACUAGAUACAAGCGAGCGGCGGACGGGUGAGUAACACGUGGGUAACCUGCCCAAGAGACUGGGAUAACACCUGGAAACAGAUGCUAAUACCGGAUAACAACACUAGACGCAUGUCUAGAGUUUGAAAGAUGGUUCUGCUAUCACUCUUGGAUGGACCUGCGGUGCAUUAGCUAGUUGGUAAGGUAACGGCUUACCAAGGCAAUGAUGCAUAGCCGAGUUGAGAGACUGAUCGGCCACAUUGGGACUGAGACACGGCCCAAACUCCUACGGGAGGCAGCAGUAGGGAAUCUUCCACAAUGGACGAAAGUCUGAUGGAGCAACGCCGCGUGAGUGAAGAAGGGUUUCGGCUCGUAAAGCUCUGUUGGUAGUGAAGAAAGAUAGAGGUAGUAACUGGCCUUUAUUUGACGGUAAUUACUUAGAAAGUCACGGCUAACUACGUGCCAGCAGCCGCGGUAAUACGUAGGUGGCAAGCGUUGUCCGGAUUUAUUGGGCGUAAAGCGAGUGCAGGCGGUUCAAUAAGUCUGAUGUGAAAGCCUUCGGCUCAACCGGAGAAUUGCAUCAGAAACUGUUGAACUUGAGUGCAGAAGAGGAGAGUGGAACUCCAUGGGUAAC
rnacentral:rRNA from 1 species